GUCUCAGUAGCGCAAUGGAUAGCGCGUUGGUCUUCUAAUCCAAGUAUCAUGGUUUCGAAUCCUACCUGGGAUA